UUUGGGUAACCAAGCUUGCUUGGGUCCUUGAGAGUUAGGACAUAUGGUUCCUUUUGGAAUCCAAAUCUGUUUGAUAAUAAUAACUUUACCAUUUGAUUUAAUUGUGUUAGAACGAUAGGUAAAGUUGUUAUGCCCAUUCUUUUCAUUUUUGAAAUAAGUUAUCUUAUUUAAUGGUUUGCUUGGUGAAUUGAUAACCUUUUUCUUUAGGGAUUCAUUGCUAAGUGAAGGAGUUAAGCCAAAUUUUGAUUUAUCAAAAUCUACAUGUUGGCUUUCAAACAUCAUUUUUAAUCUUUCUGAACUUACAGUAAAUUUGUUAAUAAAAGACUUCAAUUGGUUAAUUUCUUUACUUAAGUUUUGAUUUUCUUUAAUUAAAUUCUGAUUUUUCUGAAUUAAUUGUUCUGAAUUUAACCUUAAAAUUUCAUUU
rnacentral:lncRNA from 1 species